rnacentral:rRNA from 1 species
GACAGAGGGUGCAAACGUUGUUCGGAAUUACUGGGCGUAAAGCGCGUGUAGGCGGCUAAGUAAGUCGGGCGUGAAAUCCCACGGCUCAACCGUGGAAGUGCACUCGAAACUGCAUAGCUAGAGUCCUGGAGAGGAAGGUGGAAUGCUUGGUGUAGAGGUGAAAUUCGUAGAUACUCGCAAGAACACCAGUGGCGAAGGCGGCUCACUGGCCCGAUACUGACGCUGAGGUGCGAAAGCGUGGGGAGCAAACAGG